GACGAACGCUGGCGGCGCGCCUAACACAUGCAAGUCGAACGAGCGAGAGGAGGUUUACUUUCUCAAGCGAGUGGCGAACGGGUGAGUAACGCGUGAGGAACCUGCCUCAAAGAGGGGGACAACAGUUGGAAACGACUGCUAACACCGCAUAAGCCCACGACCCGGCAUCGGGUAGAGGGAAAAGGAGCAAUCCGCUUUGAGAUGGCCUCGCGUCCGAUUAGCUAGUUGGUGAGGUAAUGGCCCACCAAGGCGACGAUCGGUAGCCGGACUGAAAGGUUGAACGGCCACAUUGGGACUGAGACACGGCCCAGACUCCUACGGGAGGCAGCAGUGGGGAAUAUUGCACAAUGGGGGAAACCCUGAUGCAGCGACGCCGCGUGGAGGAAGAAGGUCUUCGGAUUGUAAACUCCUGUUGUUGAGGAAGAUAAUGACGGUACUCAACAAGGAAGUGACGGCUAACUACGUG
rnacentral:rRNA from 1 species